rnacentral:rRNA from 1 species
UACGGAGGAUUCGAGCGUUAUCCGGAUUUAUUAGGUUUAAAGGGUGCGUAGGCGGACUGGUCAGUCAGCUGUGAAAGUUUACGGCUCAACCGUGAAAUUGCAGUUGAUACUGUUGGUCUUGAGUAUACAUGAGGUGGGUGGAAUUUGUGGUGUAGCGGUGAAAUGCUUAGAUAUCACGAAGAACUCCAAUGGCGAAGGCAGCUCACUGGGGUAUAACUGACGCUGAUGCGCGAAGGUGAGGGUAGCGAACAGG